AGAGCCAAGUCCAAAAUGCAGAGAGCCAACUACAAAAAGCAGAGAGCCAACUGCAAAAAGCAGAGAGCCAACUACAAAAAGCAGAGGAAAGAAAAAACGCACUUCAGGCUACGGAAACUGCAUUAAAGGAUCAAAUUGAUAGAGCUCAUGUAUAUGGUUACAGGAAAACGAAAAAACAAAUAAUAAUAGAUUCGCUUCAACAAUCUUUGUCUACAGCCCGGAAUGAAAGAAAUGAAGUAAAAAAGACGCUUUCCAAGGAAAUCGACGAAUUGAAAAUUGAAAUCGAGAAAUUGAAGAAAGCACCCAAAGAACAAGAAAAACGGUAUAGUGUUUAAGUUGAGAAAUAGAUUAACAUGUAAUUUGCAUUUUAGCUAAUCUGAGUACUAGUGCUCAAUGAGAGCUUUUUUGAUACGCUUUUGUCCGUUCAGAGUUUGUCAUCGGUCGUUAACAUUUUUACUUAAAAAGGAG